UCAACAGUUUUGGUACACCCACCCACCUCAAAGAAUCAUGGAGGAUGUCCUGAAUCUGGUUCUUAUCAUCAAAGCCAGUUUAAUGGAGUGUGGGAGCUGUGAAGAACCUCCCUAGAUGCUGAUAUCAUUUUGACUGCCCUGAGUUACAACACAGCAUUUAGAUAAACUUCUGCACAGCAGCUUGUAGACACAUACCUAGGCUUUAUUUGGAACAUAAAUUGACCAGAUACAGUGUUCAUUAUCAACCCAGUAUUUAACAAUUUCUGUAUUUUUGUUCAUUCUUUGAAGGGGAAAAUGCAACUUUGUUAUGUAAUAAUUACAUAAUGGUCUUAGACUUGUAAACUCUUUUCUGUUUGUGGUGAAGAACAAAGCAUAUACUCUCCACGGAUAAAAAAUUGGUUGCCAAGCUUAUUCUUUUAAUGGUGAAAUUCUGCUUCAAAAGAUGCACAAAAAACUG